rnacentral:rRNA from 1 species
GACGAACGCUGGCGGCGUGCUUAACACAUGCAAGUCGAACAAUGAAGCUGGAGCUUGCUCCGGUGGAUUAGUGGCGAACGGGUGAGUAACACGUGAGCAAUCUGCCCUUGACUCUGGGAUAACUGCGGGAAACUGUAGCUAAUACCGGAUACUUUCACUGGAAGGCAUCUUCUGGUGAAGAAAGAAUUUCGGUCAAGGAUGAGCUCGCGGCCUAUCAGCUUGUUGGUGAGGUAACGGCUCAACAAGGCGACGCCGGGUAGCCGGCCUGAGAGGGUGACCGGCCACACUGGGACUGAGACACGGCCCAGACUCCUACGGGAGGCAGCAGUGGGGAAUAUUGCACAAUGGGCGCAAGCCUGAUGCAGCAACGCCGCGUGAGGGAUGAAGGCCUUCGGGUUGUAAACCUCUUUUAGCAGGGAAGAAGCGAAAGUGACGGUACCUGCAGAAAAAGCACCGGCUAACUACGUGCCAGCCGCCGCGGUAA